UCAGGAGGAAGGAAGCAUCCUUGAAACUCUCCCUUCUCACGACUCUUUGAGAUAUUUAAUAUUCCUUUGUGUGUAUAUAUACACCUUUGCUCAAGCCAAUCUUUGAGACAAAAAACCCUCAACUGACUGCUGCUUUCUGCCACUUCAUAAAUGGAUUCCUCAGGAGCUAAAGGAGCACAGCCUCCACCAGGGUACCCAAAUGAUUCAACGCCGCCCAAGAAGCGGCCAUGCUGUCCCCGUACCAAGAAGAGAGGCGACAAAGGGUUCAUUGAAGGAUGUCUUGCUGCGCUUUGUUGUUGUUGGCUAUGCGAAACUUGCUUCUGAGUGGAGGCUCAUCAGAAGAGGCAUGGACAAUCGUAUAUGGAUUUUGUGAGUAUAACAUCGUGUUCUUCAGUGGAUUGUGAACUUAUUGUAAUAACCAAGUGAAGGGUUUGCAUUUAUUCCUUUUGUUGGAGAGUUUAGUAUGUAACUCUUAUUUUACUGUAUCACGAGUACCAAAAACUACUGUCAGAAUAUCGAAUCACCUUAAUAAAUUGUGCAACAAAUUAUUCAACAGUGACAGGAAGAGUUCACUAAUAAAACAAAUCAAGCAGCAUGCAGAAUUUGAGUAA